rnacentral:rRNA from 1 species
GACGAACGCUGGCGGCGUGCUUAACACAUGCAAGUCGCGCGGUAAGGCUCCUUCGGGGGUACACGAGCGGCGAACGGGUGAGUAAAACGUGAGUAAUCUGCCCUUCACUUCGGGAUAGCUUCGGGAAACCGAAAUUAAUACCGGAUACGACCAGUCACUGCAUGGGGUGUUGGUGGAAAGUUUUUUCGGUGGGGGUUGUGUUCGCGGCCUAUCAGCUCGUUGGGGGGGUAAUGGUCUACCAGGGCUUCGACGGGUAGCCGGCCGGAGCGGGUGGCCGGGCACGAGGGGACGGGCACACGGGCCAGACGCGUGCGGGAGGGAGCAGUGGGGAAAAGGGGACGAUGGGGUAAACCCUGGUCCGUCAGCGCCGCGGGAGGGAUGACGGCCUUCGGGUUGGUAGCCUCUUGCGGCGCCGGCGAAGUCACUCGAUGAGGGUGGUGACGGGAGGUGCAGAAGAAGGACCGGCCAACUACGUGCCAGCCGCCGCAGUAACAC